GAACGCGCUCCAUUCGGUAGCAAUACUGAUGAAGAGCGAGUGGCGAACGGGUGAGUAGCACGUGAGCAACCUGCCCCGAAGACUGGGACAACACCGGGAAACCGGUGCUAAUACCGGAUAUCCCUAUCGGAUCGCAUGAUCCAAUAAGGAAAUGUUUUUUCGCUUCGGGAGGGGCUCGCGGCCUAUCAGCUUGUUGGUGGGGUAACGGCCCACCAAGGCAUCGACGGGUAGCUGGUCUGAGAGGACGAUCAGCCACACUGGGACUGAGACACGGCCCAGACUCCUACGGGAGGCAGCAGUGGGGAAUCUUGCGCAAUGGGCGAAAGCCUGACGCAGCAACGCCGCGUGGAGGACGAAGGCUUUCUGAGUUGUAAACUCCUUUCAGCAGGGACGAUUGUGACGGUACCUGCAGAAGAAGCACCGGCCAACUACGUGCCAGCAGCCGCGGUAAU
rnacentral:rRNA from 1 species